GAUGAACGCUGGCGGCGUGCCUAAUACAUGCAAGUCGAGCGAACGGACGAGAAGCUUGCUUCUCUGAUGUUAGCGGCGGACGGGUGAGUAACACGUGGAUAACCUACCUAUAAGACUGGGAUAACUUCGGGAAACCGGAGCUAAUACCGGAUAAUAUUUUGAACCGCAUGGUUCAAAAGUAAAAGACGGUCUUGCUGUCACUUAUAGAUGGAUCCGCGCUGCAUUAGCUAGUUGGUAAGGUAACGGCUUACCAAGGCAACGAUGCAUAGCCGACCUGAGAGGGUGAUAGGCCAAACUGGAACUGAGACACGGUCCAGACUCCUACGGGAGGCAGCAGUAGGGAAUCUUCAGCAAUGGGCGAAAGCCUGACGGAGCAACGCCGCGUGAGUGAUGAAGGUCUUCGGAUCGUAAAACUCUGUUAUUAGGGAAGAACAUAUGUGUAAGUAACUGUGCACAUCUUGACGGUACCUAAUCAGAAAGCCACGGCUAACUACGUG
rnacentral:rRNA from 1 species